rnacentral:tRNA from 1 species
ACCCUGUAGCUCAGUGGUAGAGCGUCCGACCGGUGUGUGGAAGGUCAUAGAUUCGACUCCUGUUAGGACCG